rnacentral:rRNA from 1 species
UACGUAGGGGGCGAGCGUUGUCCGGAUUUAUUGGGCGUAAAGAGCUCGUAGGCGGUUCGGUAAGUCGGAUGUGAAAUCUCCACGCUCAACGUGGAGGGGCCAUUCGAUACUGCCGUGACUCGAGUCCGGUAGGGGAGUGUGGAAUUCCCGGUGUAGCGGUGAAAUGCGCAGAGAUCGGGAGGAACACCCGUAGCGAAGGCGGCACUCUGGGCCGGUACUGGACGCUGAGGAGCGAAAAGCGUGGGGAGCGAACAGG